ACGCUCGACACCUACGUGAGGCAGCAGUGAGGAAUAUUGGUCAAUGGACGCAAGUCUGAACCAGCCAUGCCGCGUGCAGGAUGACGGCUCUAUGAGUUGUAAACUGCUUUUGUACGAGGGUAAACGCAGAUACGUGUAUCUGUCUGAAAGUAUCGUACGAAUAAGGAUCGGCUAACUCCGUGCCAGCAGCCGCGGUAAUCUGAGCGGCUGGCAAGGC
rnacentral:rRNA from 1 species